rnacentral:lncRNA from 1 species
AUGGUGUGUGUUAGAGCCACAACUGAAAGUCCUAACAGUGGUACACAGUUUGAAAUGAGCUUAGAAGCACUUAUUCGUAAAGCUGCUAUGAAAAGUCUCAAUCAUACCAUUUUUAAAAGGAUAAUUUAUUUACCAGAUACUAACACUGUAUAGAUUCCCACAUCCUUUCUGCAUACUGUUUUGAAAUAAGUUUACGAAAAUCACUUUUCUUUUCACACUAUCUCCUUAAUAGAUUGUUUUUUGUGCCAAAUACAAACAUAGCUGCAUUACAAGCCAUUGUUCACCAAGGCUUGCUCAUACACAAAGGAGGCAAGCUUAUUUUAAAACACAUUGUGUGAUAGUCUAUCAGAAGAACAGGAAAAUCAGCAGUUCACCCUCACUCAUACCAGCCAAAACAAAACAGGAAGUCUUCACACAAACUGAAACCGCAACACUGCUAGGAUUCAAUUUUUACUAAGGCCUUAAACUUGUCAGUGUUUCAAAAGACAUUUCCUCAAACCCUAUAUAAUCUUGUAUAGUCUAUUAUAGAUUCUUGAUGGAUAUAGUAUUUAAACUUUUUUUUUCAAUUUCUUCUCUCCAAAGUAAGGAAGUUACCAGCUACCAAAAGAUAAUUUGAAGCCAGAUACCUGGUGACUGAGUCAAAUUAGGGGACAAGAGAGGGGAACUAGCUUUAUUUUUGAGGAAGAGCAGUCCAUGCACUUGAGUUGCUUCCUAAAAGGAAGGGCUUUAUUAGAGGGUGUAUGGUACACAUUUCCAAUGUUGUGUCAGAAGCCAACAAGAAGACUUGUGUGAGAAAACUGUCGUGAGCUGUGUGGUGGUGUUUUGUUGCCACAGCAGUUUGUUCACACAUACCCUACUUUUCUUUACUUCUCACAAAAUAUACUUUCAAUUGAAAGAUUGUCUUCUACAGAGAAGCCAGUUCUUGUGUAACCUAUUCCUGUCCAGUUUGCAAAGAAAAUGAUCACAAGAUGGAACAAGCCUGUCCCACUACCUUGCAGGUUUCGCUAUCAAGUACUUUCAGGAAAUACGAGAGUUUUUAAUAAUUAAGAAACUGGCUAUUCCCAGUUAUCUGUCACCUGGAGACUGGCUAGUUUCUAGG